rnacentral:lncRNA from 1 species
CUGAGGGCAAAGGGAAAAGUGGGGAAGACUUUUUUCAGAAGAUCAUGGAAGAAACAAACACACAGAUUGCUUGGCCAUCAAAGUUGAAGAUUGGAGCAAAAUCAAAGAAAGGUUUUCUUCUCCACCUUGGCCUCCCCCUUCUCCCUUCAAAUCCGAUUACUUUUCUAUUCAAUUUGCCAUGCCUUCUGUUACCUCUCCCUUGUCUUGCCUCCUUGCUUCUACUAUCAGAGAAGUCUUUUCCUCUGUCACUGGAUCCGAAAUCCAGUCAUCAAUAGUUUCACUCCAAAAAUAAUAAAUUGUGCAGGU